GCUACUCAUGUUGAUUUUAGAAUACAUCAGUUGUUCACCUUCCAACAAUUCAUUCAAUUUUUUCCCGUCUUGGAUCACACAGAGGAUCCUGCCAUUUGGUUACUUCCGUAUAAGCAGAGCAGUAUUUUGUUCAAGACAUGCCUGCUGUGUUCUUCAAGCCUCAGCCUUGAUAUACAAUCAUGGGACACCACACUAGAACUCUCCAAUGGAGAACUCCAGAUGAGACAGAGCCUGGGACCCCGUCAUGGAAACAGGUUCACUAGGACAAUCUAGAUUGAACCCCACCUGCGAAGGGCAGAAUCACUUUCUUGUUUUAGGCUCUAUGACAAUGCAGUUAUCCAUUUUUCCUUCAAGUUUUAUUUGUUUUGUUCCUUAAAUGAUAAUGUUAUGUUGUGUUCUUUUGAAAAAACACUGAGCAUUUUAUUAAUUAUUUGAUGCUGGCUGUUCUGGUAUAUCCAUAUGCCAUCCACAGACAAUAAUAUGCAGCAAAAUUCUAGUUUCUGAUGUAGAAGGAUUUUGGAUUGAAAUCAAUGUCGGAGAUAUGGAUGAUUAGCAAUGAAACACAGAGACUCAUCUAUAGGCACUAGGACUACUCUGGCUCAGCUAUAAACAAUAGGACUACAUGGCUUUCAUUUUUCAUCUAAUGGACAAUGCCCAGCCUCCAUUCUGCAACUGACCAAGCGUGCCAGCAUCUGCAGUGAGAGAGGAUGGAUCCCGCACUUCUCUCCUAUGUGCUGUUAGCUGUCAUGAGGACAUCGCACAUGGCAGCACAGUUACUCACAAAGUUAACAGAGGAUGAAUCGCAGGCACCUGAGUGUGAUAUGGACAGCAGCAACUUAUCAGUGCUUUGUGCAUUCACUGAGCAGCUGCAUACGGUAGACCGUUGCUUUUGGGCUAGGGAAACAAGCACUGAUUGGUGGGAUCGCAUUGUCAUGCAGGUGUGGGAUGACGACCAGUGGGCAUAGAACUUUAGGAUGCGUAAAGCAACCUUCAUGGGGCUAUGUGCUGAGCUGUCCCCCAACCUGUGGCACAAGGACACCAGAUCAAGAGCUGCCCUUUCGGUAGAGAAGCGUGUUGCAAUCGCUGUGUGGAAGCUGGCAAAUCCAGACUGCUACUGGUCAUUUGCUAAUCAAUUUGGAGUGGGGAAGUCCACUGUUGGGGCUGUAUUAUUCCAAGUGUGCAAAGCAAAUCACAUCCUGAUGCGGAGGACCGUGAUUCUGGGAAAUGUGCAUGAAAUAGUGGAUGGCUUUGCAGAGAUGGGUUACCCUAACUGUCGCGGGGCAAUUGAUGGCACACACAUUCCAAUUUUAGCACCAGACCACCUUGCCUCUGAAUACAUCAAUAGGAAGGGAUACUUCUCCAUGGUGUUGCAGGCACUUGUGGAUCAUCAGGGGUGUUUCAUGGACAUCAACGUAGGCUGGUCUGGAAAGGUGCAUGACACACGCAUCUUCAGGAACAGUGGCCGGUACAGAAAGCUGCAGGCGGGGACUUUCUUUCCAGACCACAAGAUCACAGUUGGGGAUGUGGAAGUGCCCAUAGUAAUCCUGGGAGACCCGACUUACCCCUUACAGCCCUGGCUCAUGAAACCUUACACAGGGCACCUGGACAGCAGCAAGGAGCGUUUUGACAACAGGCUGAGCAGGUGUCGCAUGGUAGUCGAAUGUGCCUUUGGCCAUUUGAAAGCUUGCUGGAGAUGUCUCACUGGCAGGCUAGACCUUACCGAGGAUCAUAUUCCUGUGGUCAUAGCCACGUGCUGCACUUAGCAUAAUCUGUGUGAAUCUACGGGUGAAAUGUUUGCUUGGGUGUGGAGCACUGAGGCAGAGCCUUAGCUGCACAGUUUGAACAGCCAGAUGCUAGGGCUGUCAGAGGAGCCCAGAGGGCUGCUAUUAACAUCAGAGGGGCUUUGAGGAACCACUUUGACAAUGAGGGGCAGUAACACGUCUGCUUUGGAGUUUCUUCUCUGGUGCAUCCAUGUACAAUUUUGGGGCCCAAGAUCCAUGCAACACAAUGCUUUAGAAGCCUGUUUCCGAGAGUGAAUUGAUUGCUAUACGCUUUUGUAGAACACAGAAUAAAAACACGUACCAUUAAA